UACGUAGGGUGCAAGCGUUGUCCGGAAUUAUUGGGCGUAAAGAGCGCGUAGGCGGUCCGAUAAGUCGGCUGUGAAAGUCAAGGGCUCAACCCUUGAAAGCCGGCCGAUACUGUCGGACUAGAGUCCGGAAGAGGCGAGUGGAAUUCCCGGUGUAGCGGUGAAAUGCGCAGAUAUCGGGAGGAACACCAAUGGCGAAGGCAGCUCGCUGGGACGGUACUGACGCUGAGGCGCGAAAGCGUGGGUAGCAAACAGG
rnacentral:rRNA from 1 species